CACAUUGGUAGGUUGUGAAGCUCAGUACGCCUGGAUAUUGUUCUCUCGAGAAUGUAGAUUUGUCUCUUCGGAGACAUCCGAUAAAAUUGGAACGAUACAGAGAAGAUUAGCAUGGCCCCUGCGCAAGGAUGACACGCAUAAAUCGAGAAAUGGUCCAAAUUUUUUUUUUCUGCUCGCGCAAAUCGCAUGGCGGAUUGGAUUUAGGUUUUGCCCACUUUUUAUCGACUUCAUUCUUUGGUUUUGUUCCUCCUGCGAUUAUUAAUUGGGGUAUGCAACUGUCGAUCUUUGAUUUGUUACUUGGUUUGCUUCUUUGUCACGAUCGUUUCACUUUCAUGGAUUGCGAACUCCAAUCUUGAAUCUCUUUUUGUUUUUCUUCUUACUUCGAUUCCACCCCAUGCGUAUACCUUUAAUUCAGCGAACCCUAAAAUCACUUCUUUUUUUUUUUUUUAAAAAAAAAAACCAUUUUUCCCUCUUUCGAUGUACUUCGGAAAGUUCAACGGGUUAAAUUUGAUAGCCAGUAAUGUUUAUGCUACUUGUUAUACGGAUUCUAGUGCUUUAGUUCUCCUGGAAUUGUUUCAUUUGAUUCAAUGAUAGGUUUCAGCUUCCUUUUGUGAAGUUGUCUUCCAGUAAAAGAAACAUUGCAUGAGGCAGAAGAGCAUUGGAAGGAUUGGGUUCAAAUUAUCUUGUGCAGCACUCAGAUGCCAUCAACUUUUUCCUGCUUUUUAGUCACUGUCUAUCAUCAAUGUGAUAGAAGAAAUUUGGACAUCCUUCUCUGUUCAUGUGCAAGUGCGUUUGUGUUCAGUUUUCGACUGUGCAAAGUGAUGAAAUGAAGUCAUUUCUCAUUACAGAGAUUUAACAUCAUUCAAUAAUUGUCCGGCCAGUAUGCCUGGUGAAUCAAAAGCUUCUGAACUGGUCUACACAUUGCCAAAGAGUGAGGUCGCCUACAAAUGUUCAUUUGUUUUUGCCACAAGAGUCUGCCUCAAUAACUUUGGUACUCCUACAGCCUUGUCAAAAUCCACUAUUGGGGUGAUUCCACUCUUAUGAAAAAAUUUCCAGGUAUGUACCACUUCAUCGACUAUAAUCUGUAGCUUCACAUAAUUGAUCCAUCUUUAAUGAAUACAUAUCAUGACCUAUCCACUAGUUUUGCUGUUUCCUUUAACGUCAUGGCAAGAGUUUCAUAAAUUUGUUAUUGAGUCUGAUAUGAUCAACACAUCUUUAUUUUUUCUAAAGAGAUCCAGUGUGUUUAUUCACCUAAAGUUAAGCGUACGUGACAUAUGAACAGAAAUAGCGAGCAUCUAAACACUCUAAAAGUCAUAAAGUUGCAAACAUUUAGUUAAUCAGUAGCUGCUUAAACUGAUAAGUGCAGCAGUAUAUGGUACUUGUUGGAGUCCUCAUCAUCUAUGCAGUAACAAGUGACAGAAACCUCAAUGAAGUCGUUCCUAAUUUUUGGUGAAAUUGCUGAACCAUAUGCACUAGGUAUAUGUAGCUAGAAUUUCAUGACAAAUCCAUCUAUUCCUGUUUCUUUUCUUAAUUGUCACUGCCAAUGUACAGUCUAACCUCUUCCAUUUCAAGUUCUUUGAUUAAUUGUACAGGUCCGGUUGUGUUAUAUCCAGCAUCCUUGUUGAAUUCAUCAAAAAUUUCAAAUGCUUUCUUAUAGAACUAACCCAACCAAACCUCCACCAGACCCAACUAAGCAUUUGUCUUCAAUAUGAAGCUGGUUCACUUCCCUCAAUAUAAAGUCCAUCAAACUUGACAUGGAUCCAUCUGGCGUCUUGUUCUUAUGAUCAUAUGGCGUGAAUAGGGCCUGCAAACAAUAAUUAAUGAGAAUACAGAACAGAGGCUCUUUGUCCUGCUGAUGGACAAACACACUAAGAUAGCUUCAGAGAAAAGAGAUAAGAACAAGUUGCAAGCAACCAUGAAGGAACCAGUUCUAGGGAUGAAGUAUCCACGUUCUAUUGUUGUCUGCACACUCCAUCAUGAGAUUUUACAUAACCAAAGAAUUUAUGGAACAUUGAAUAAUAAGAAUGACUCCUUGGGUUUAGGUUA